GAGUACGUUUACACAAUCUUAUUAGCAAAGAUAGUUUUGCUCAACGGUCAUCUUGUUGGCUAGAUUGUUGCGCUGUCGCUGUUAAUUGUGCUAUUUUCUUUUGAAUUUGUGAAAGCUUUGGUAUCAGGAGAUGAUAACCUUUUCUACGAAACAUGAAUAAAAUAUUUGUUGUGCUGGUUUGGUGAGAAAAUGGCAAAAUCAAGUAAAUACAACAAGGUCUUUUUCUGUGGCGAUCCUACGCGAGAACCAGAGAAGAAGUUCGUCUUUGUCAAUUAGCAUGUAUUUUUUUGUUGACCUAUUGCUUUUAGCAAGCUAGCAAGUCUAGAACCCAUAAUAAUACCUACUUUUGGAGAUGUUUAAUUUUGAAAUCAUAAAAGCAUUUAAAGUUGAAAUGAGCAACGUUUCUCAUUCAUAUUUAAAAAAUUAA